GGAGUCGCCCAGGCAGUCGCCGGACGGACCGCAGGGUUCGCGCCGGAGGAAAGUCCGGGCUCCAUCGGGCAGGGCGCCAGGUAAUUCCUGGAGGGCGAGAGCCCAUGGAAAGUGCCACAGAAAACAUACCGCCUAAGCGCCGCGAGGCGCCGGUAAGGGUGAAAAGGUGCGGUAAGAGCGCACCGCGCGGGUGGCAACACGCCGCGGCAGGGUAAACCCCGCCUGGAGCAAGACCAAAUAGGGGAGCACGCGGCCGCAAGGCUGCACCGCCGGCCCCGAGCGGGCUCCCGGGUAGGUCGCUAGAGGCGGUCGGCGACGACCGUCCCAGAUGAAUGAUUGCCCACGACAGAACCCGGCUUACGGGCGACUCCUGUC
rnacentral:RNase_P_RNA from 1 species